rnacentral:rRNA from 1 species
GAUGAACGCUAGCGGGAGGCUUAACACAUGCAAGUCGAGGGGCAGCACGAUCCCGAGUAAUCGGGAUUGGUGGCGACCGGCGCACGGGUGAGUAACACGUAUGCAACCUACCCUGUACAGGGGGAUAACCCGGAGAAAUUCGGACUAAUAUCCCAUAAUGAUAUUUGAGGGCAUCCUUGGAUAUUUAAAGCUCAGGCGGUACGGGAUGGGCAUGCGGAACAUUAGCUAGUUGGGAGGGUAACGGCCUACCAAGGCAACGAUGUUUAGGGGACCUGAGAGGGUGAUCCCCCACACUGGUACUGAGACACGGACCAGACUCCUACGGGAGGCAGCAGUGAGGAAUAUUGGUCAAUGGGCGCAAGCCUGAACCAGCCAUCCCGCGUGCAGGAAGACGGCCCUAUGGGUUGUAAACUGCUUUUCCAGGGGGUAGAAUUUUCUGUCGUGACAGGAAUUGACGGUACCUGGGAAUAAGCAUCGGCUAACUCCGUGCCAGCAGCCGCGGUAAAACGUAG